AAUCUGGCUCAGGAUGAACGCUAGCUACAGGCUUAACACAUGCAAGUCGAGGGGCAGCAUGGUCUUAGCUUGCUAAGGCCGAUGGCGACCGGCGCACGGGUGAGUAACACGUAUCCAACCUGCCGUCUACUCUUGGACAGCCUUCUGAAAGGAAGAUUAAUACAAGAUGGCAUCAUGAGUUCACAUGUUCACAUGAUUAAAGGUAUUCCGGUAGACGAUGGGGAUGCG
rnacentral:rRNA from 1 species